rnacentral:rRNA from 1 species
AUUGAACGCUGGCGGCAGGCCUAACACAUGCAAGUCGAACGAGUGGCGGACGGGUGAGUAAUGUCUGGGAAACUGCCCGAUGGAGGGGGAUAACUACUGGAAAAGGUAGCUAAUACCGCAUACUAUCGGAUGUGCCCAGAUGGGAUUGGCUGGUAGGUGGGGUAACGGCUCACCUAGGCGACGAUCCCUAGCUGGUCUGAGAGGAUGACCAGCCACACUGGGACUGAGACACGGUCCAGACUCCUACGGGAGGCAGCAGUGGGGAAUAUUGCCCAAUGGGCGCGAGCCUGAUGCAGCCAUGCCGCGUGUAUGAAGAAGGCCUUCGGGUUGUAAAGUACUUUCAGCGGGGAGGCGUUACCCGCAGAAGAAGCACCGGCUAACUCCGUGCCAGCAGCCGCGGUAAUUC